UGGGGAAUAUUGCACAAUGGGCGCAAGCCUGAUGCAGCAACGCCGCGUGAGGGACGAAGGCCUUCGGGUUGUAAACCUCUUUUAGUAGGGAAGAAGCGAAAGUGGCGGUACCUGCAGAAAAAGCACCGGCUAACUACGUG
rnacentral:rRNA from 1 species